UACGGGGGGGGCAAGCGUUGUUCGGAAUUACUGGGCGUAAAGGGCUCGUAGGCGGCCAACUAAGUCAUACGUGAAAUCCCUCGGCUUAACCGGGGAACUGCGUCUGAUACUGGAGGGCUUGAGUGCGGGAGAGGGAUGUGGAAUUCCAGGUGUAGCGGUGAAAUGCGUAGAUAUCUGGAGGAACACCGGUGGCGAAGGCGGCAUCCUGGACCGACACUGACGCUGAGGCGCGAAAGCUAGGGUAGCAAACGGG
rnacentral:rRNA from 1 species